AAAGCUGUUGACCGAAACACACACGAAAGAAAACGGUAUUACUUGAUUCUUCACACAUACAAACGUUGGAUGAUUUUUAACUCUGCUCUCCACUGUCAUACCUUUGAAUCCUGGCUGAGGAAGAGCAAGACCUGGAGUCAUCUCAACUAAUGAUACUCUGUGACUGACUCAUCAAAAAGAGAGUAUAGCUGCCACAUACAACUGGUGGAUGAGUUCCUGGUGAAAACAAAGUCCUUCAGAGAAGCAAUAACAUGAACAUGACUUCUACUGGUUAUUUGAGCCAGUGACAUCUGGACACUGAGAAGAUAUUUAGUUCACCAAUACCCCUCUCUCACAUCGAUACAGGAAGCAUGCUUUCAGUAUCAACUGUUCUUAUUUAAUAUAAUGCACUCCAUUGUCU
rnacentral:lncRNA from 1 species